rnacentral:rRNA from 1 species
AUCGUGACGGUAGGCACAGAGAACUUGCUCCCGGGUGACAAGUGGGGGACGGGUGAGUAAUGUGUGGGGAUCUGCCCCAUAUAGGGGGAUAUCCCCUGGAAACGGUGGCUAAUACCCCAUAACGUCUCAAGACCCAAAAGGGGGACCUUCUGGCCUCUCACUAUCGGAUGAACCCCCAUGGGAUUAUCUAGUAUGCGGGGUAAUGGCCCCCCUAGGCGACAAUACCUAUCUGGUCUGAGAGGAUGACCCCCCCCACUGGAACUGAGACACGGUCCCCACACCUACGGGAGGCGCCACUGGGGAAUAUUGCACAAUGGGCGCAAGCCUGAUGCACCCCUGCCCCGUGUAUAAAAAAAGCCUUCUGGUUGUAAAGUACUUUUUCCGGGGAGGAAAGCGGUGCGGUUAAUAACCGCGCCGAUUGACAUUACCCGCACAAAAAACACCGGCUAACUCCGUGCCACCACCCGCGGUAAUACAGAGGGUGCGAGCGUUAAUCUCAAUUACUGGGCGUAUAGCGCACGCACGCGGUCUGUUAAGUCUCAUAUGAAAUCUCCGGGCGUAACCUGGGAACUGCGUUUGAGACUGUCAGGCGUGAGUCUCUUAUAGGGGGGUAUAAUUCCCCGUGUAUCGCUGAAAUGUGUAUAGAUCUCUAGGAAUAUCCGUGUCGAAAGCGGCCCCCUGUACAAAAACACACACUCUCGUGCGAAAACGUGUGGAGCACACACGAGAAUAUACCCUGUGAGUCCACGCCCUAUACAAUAUCUACAUGUAGGUUGUUUCUCUUGUGGAGUGUGUCUCUCCGGAGCUAACGCGUUAAGUCGACCGCCUGGGGAGUACGGCCGCCAAGGUUAAAACUCAAAUGAAUUGACGGGGGCCCGCACAAGCGGUGGAGCAUGUGGUUUAAUUCGAUGCAACGCGAAGAACCUUACCUACUCUUGACAUCCAGCGAACUUUCCAGAGAUGGAUUGGUGCCUUCGGUGAACGCUGAGACAGGUGCUGCAUGGCUGUCGUCAGCUCGUGUUGUGAAAUGUUGGGUUAAGUCCCGCAACGAGCGCAACCCUUAUCCUUUGUUGCCAGCGAUUCGGUCGGGAACUCAAAGGAGACUGCCGGUGAUAAACCGGAGGAAGGUGGGGAUGACGUCAAGUCAUCAUGGCCCUUACGAGUAGGGCUACACACGUGCUACAAUGGCGCAUACAAAGAGAAGCGACCUCGCGAGAGCAAGCGGACCUCACAAAGUGCGUCGUAGUCCGGAUCGGAGUCUGCAACUCGACUCCGUGAAGUCGGAAUCGCUAGUAAUCGUGGAUCAGAAUGCCACGGUGAAUACGUUCCCGGGCCUUGUACACACCGCCCGUCACACCAUGGGAGUGGGUUGCAAAAGAAGUAGGUUAGCUUAACCUUUCGGGAGGGGU